UACGGGGGGGGUAAGCGUUGUUCGGAAUUACUGGGCGUAAAGGGCUCGUAGGCGGCCAACUAAGUCAUACGUGAAAUCCCUCAGCUUAACUGGGGAACUGCGUGUGAUACUGGAUGGCUUGGAUUUGGGAGAGGGAUGCGGAAUUCCAGGUGUAGCGGUGAAAUGCGUAGAUAUCUGGAGGAACACCGGUGGCGAAGGCGGUUCUCUGGGCAUUACCUGACGCUGAGGAGCGAAAGUGUGGGGAGCGAACAGG
rnacentral:rRNA from 1 species